rnacentral:rRNA from 1 species
CCUACGGGAGGCAGCAGUGAGGAAUAUUGGACAAUGGGCGCAAGCCUGAUCCAGCCAUGCCGCGUGCAGGAAGACGCAUCUAUGGUGUGUAAACUGCUUUUGUACGGGAAGAAACACUCCUACGUGUAGGGGCUUGACGGUACCGUAAGAAUAAGGAUCGGCUAACUCCGUGCCAGCAGCCGCGGUAAUACGGAGGAUCCAAGCGUUAUCCGGAAUCAUUGGGUUUAAAGGGUCCGUAGGCGGUUUGAUAAGUCAGUGGUGAAAGCCCAUCGCUCAACGAUGGAACGGCCAUUGAUACUGUCAGACUUGAAUUGUUGGGAAGUAACUAGAAUAUGUAGUGUAGCGGUGAAAUGCUUAGAUAUUACAUGGAAUACCAAUUGCGAAGGCAGGUUACUAUCAACACAUUGACGCUGAUGGACGAAAGCGUGGGGAGCGAACAGGAUUAGAUACCCUGGUAGUCCACGCCGUAAACGAUGGAUACUAGCUGUUCGGGGCAACCUGAGUGGCUAAGCGAAAGUGAUAAGUAUCCACCUGGGGAAGUACGUUCGCAAGAUUGAAACUCAAUUGAAUUGAGGGCUUGAGGACGNGCGACGACGACGACGAGGAGGAGG